GCUAAAAGUGUUUGGGUGCGUACUGUGCGGAGCAAGCUGGGAGGGACGACACAGCACGAGACGCAGGCAGCAAGGCAUUAUGUUCAAAGGGUGCCAUAAACUGCUGCUUUAUUUAAUGUAUUUUCGCAGAACAAGACAGUGACAGGGGCCAUGGCUGCCUACGUGUGCUGGUUCAAGCUUGGUGCCUGCCGGGAGGUGCCUACAGGGCCACCAAGGCUAAUAUUGAGCAAUGGCAACCCUACGAUCCUGCAAGCAAGUUGGCGGCAGCGAUGGCGGUGGCAGUGGUGGUGAGGUGGAAGGCAGGGACAGAGGGGCAGUACAGGCUGCGGACAUCAAGGAGAAGAAGAACGCGCGGACAAGCAAGGUGGUAUUCGGCAGUCUGAUCGUGGACCUGCUCGGCUUCACGGUGGUGGUGCCUCUGUCUCCUGCUCUCCUCGACUAUUACUCCAAGCACGACUCCAGUGGCUUGUAUUCCUCUCUGCUCUCCUCUGUUACUUAUUACUAGCAUAUCAUCGGCGUCCCUGCGAGGUUCCAUUCUGUCUUGUUUAGUGGUAUGUGGGUUUGUUGUGUUUUGUAUUGGUUUAUAUAUUUUUAGUUUGUUUUUAUUAUUAUUUUUUUCUAUUUUUUUAUCCUAUUAUUUAUUUAUUUAUUUUUGUUUGUUUGUUUGUUUGUAGGGUGUGUGUGUGUUUGUUUGUGUUCCUGCUGUUCAAUAUUACAGCUUGUUUUCUGUUUUUGUUUUUUUAUUAUUGUUAUUUUGUGUUUUAUUCCCUUUCAUUGUUCUGAGGGUGUUUUCAGGUGUUUUUGGAGUGUUUUUGGGUGUUUUUGGCGUGUUUUUGGUGUGUCUUCGGGUGUUUGGGAUGUCUGGGUGUGUUUUGGUGUGUUGUGAAGUGUUUUGGUGUGUUUUAGAGUGUUUUGGGGUGUUUUGGGGUGUUUUGUGGUGUUGUGGAGGUGUUUUGGGACUUUGAUGAUUUUUAAAGUGUUUUGGGACGUUUUUGGAAUGUUUUGAUAUGUUUUGGGAUGUUUAGGAGUAUUUUGGUGUGUUUUUGGAGUGUUUUGGGAUGUUUUUGGAGUGUUUUUGUAGUGUUUUGGGGUAUUUUGAGGGUGUUUUGGUGUGUUUUUGGAGUGUUUUGGGAUGUUUCUGUAGUGUUUUGGGGUGUUUUCAGGGUGUUUUGGUGUGUUUUUAAAGUGUUUUGGGGUGUUUUGGGGUAUUUUGAGGGUGUUUUGGUGUUUUUGGAGUGUUUUGGGAUGUUUUUGUAGUGUUUUUGGAAUGUUUUGGGGUAUUUUGAGGAUGUUUUAGUGUGUUUUGGAGUGUUUUGGGAUGUUUUUGUAGUGUUUUGGGGUAUUUUGGUGUGUUUUUGGAGAGAUUUGGGAUGUUUUUGGAGUGUUUUGUGGUGUUUUGGGGUGUUUUGGUGUGUUUUUUGUAUUUUGAGGAUGUUUCUGUAGUGUUUUGGGGUAUUUUGAGGAUGUUUUUGAGUGUUUUUGGGUGUUUUGGGGUAUUUUUAGGGUGUUUUGGUAUGUUUUUGGAGUGUUUUGGGAUGUUUUUUGUGUGUUUUGGGGUAUUUUUGUAGUGUUUUGGGGUAUUUUGAGGGUGUUUUUGUAGUGUUUUGUGGUGUUUUGGGGUGUUUUGAGGGUGUUUUGGUGUGUUUUUUGAGUGUUUUGGGAUGUUUGUAGUGUUUUGGGAUGUUUUUGUAGUGUUUUGGGUUAUUUUGAGGAUGUUUUGGUGUGUUUUUGCAGUGUUUUGGGAUGUUAUUCCUGUAAAUAAUACUAUCAUAGGCUUUUUAAAUAAUUCCAUACUCAACGUGGAAUUUUAAGCUUUUCUGUAAAUAUUUGUUUAAAAAAAAAGAGAGAGAGAGAGCACAUGUGUGUGUGUGUGUGUGUGUGUGUGUGUGUGUGUUUUGGGUGUUGGGGAUUUGGGUAUUCAGUAAGACAGGUCAACACAGUCAGACAAAAUAGUUUAUUAUUGAAAUUCUAUGCUAGAACAGCCUUCAACAGUAAUUAAAACUUCCUCUGUGUGUGUGGGUGAUUGAAGUUAGCUUAGGUUAGAUUAGGAUAGACACACACACACACACACACACACACACACACACACACACGCUCAAAUGUUAAUUCAAGACUUGGUGAGGGCUGACAGAUGGACGAAUGGAUGAAUGGACAUACAUACACAAAGAUACACACACAUAUUGAAGAUUGGAGGAGGACAGACAUACAAGUAGACAUUGAUACACAUAGACACACAGAUUGGGGGAGGACAAAGACAUUGAUACAGACACAGCCACAAACAAACUGAAGAUUAGGUGAGGAGAGACAGACAGAUUUUAAUAAAGACACCACACUAGAGUUACAACUACAAAGCAUGGCCCAGUGAUCGCGUAUUUUUAUUAUUAUUAUUAUUUAUUUAUUAAUUUUUUUUUUGCCAUUACCCUAGUGUAGGUAUUGGGCCACUUUUAUCAGUUUUAUUUAGUUUUCAUUAAUUUUAAUGUUUCAUUUUUAUUGUAUUUUGUACUUUUCUAAUUUUAUCUUUAUAUCUAUUAAUUUAAUUUCAAACAUAUACAAUAUAUUACAAAUAAGCUCCAUUCACACGAGGUUCCUAGUCCUAUCACAAAACUAUUGUCCUUUGUUGGGACAAGGAAGAGGGAGGGGUAAGAUGCAUGCACACAAGCAGGGAGGCUAUGUACCAUUACUAGUUAUUAUGCAUGCACAUAGUUGGGAACACAGUCAUAUAAAAAUCAUACAAUACACAUUGCAUACAGAAUUAAAGCAAGUAAACUUGUAAGCAUCAAUGCAUACAAAUUUUGACAGGAAACAACAUUAAUGACUGCUUGCAACUUAACCUAUUAAAUAAUUGUAGACAAAGUCAAUAAAACUUUUGUUACAGG